GUGAUUCGUCACACUAUCAUUAACUGAAUCCAUAGGUUAAUGAGGCGAACCGGGGGAACUGAAACAUCUAAGUACCCCGAGGAAAAGAAAUCAACCGAGAUUCCCCCAGUAGCGGCGAGCGAACGGGGAGGAGCCCAGAGCCUGAAUCAGCAUGUGUGUUAGUGGAAGCGUCUGGAAAGGCGCGCGAUACAGGGUGACAGCCCCGUACACAAAAGCGCAUGUGCUGUGAGCUCGAUGAGUAGGGCGGGACACGUGGUAUCCUGUCUGAAUAUGGGGGGACCAUCCUCCAAGGCUAAAUACUCCUGACUGACCGAUAGUGAACCAGUACCGUGAGGGAAAGGCGAAAAGAACCCCGGCGAGGGGAGUGAAAAAGAACCUGAAACCGUGUACGUACAAGCAGUGGGAGCCCCACCACUAAGCCAGUGGUGAACUCCACAUCCGCAUCCUUUGCUGAGGAUACGGUUAACGGAGCGAAAGCGACGUUCAACCGCAAAACAAGCAGAGGGGGCUUAGUGGUGGGGUGACUGCGUACCUUUUGUAUAAUGGGUCAGCGACUUAUAUUCUGUAGCAAGGUUAACCGAAUAGGGGAGCCGGAGGGAAACCGAGUCUUAAUUGGGCGUUAAGUUGCAGGGUAUAGACCCGAAACCCGGUGAUCUAGCCAUGGGCAGGUUGAAGGUUGGGUAACACUAACUGGAGGACCGAACCGACUAAUGUUGAAAAAUUAGCGGAUGACCUGUGGCUGGGGGUGAAAGGCCAAUCAAACCGGGAGAUAGCUGGUUCUCCCCGAAAGCUAUUUAGGUAGCGCCUCGUGAAUUCAUCUCCGGGGGUAGAGCACUGUUUCGGCUAGGGGGCCAUCCCGGCUUACCAACCCGAUGCAAACUGCGAAUACCGGAGAAUGUUAUCACGGGAGACACACGGCGGGUGCUAACGUCCGUCGUGAAGAGGGAAACAACCCAGACCGCCAGCUAAGGUCCCAAAGUCAUGGUUAAGUGGGAAACGAUGUGGGAAGGCCCAGACAGCCAGGAUGUUGGCUUAGAAGCAGCCAUCAUUUAAAGAAAGCGUAAUAGCUCACUGGUCGAGUCGGCCUGCGCGGAAGAUGUAACGGGGCUAAACCAUGCACCGAAGCUGCGGCAGCGAACGUAUCACCCAAGACAACUUUACGGAGUUGACGAUUGACGGAGCGAAGCGACGUCAAAGCGUUCAUUAAAGUCGAGUUGGCUUAGGGAUACGUUCGUUGGGUAGGGGAGCGUUCUGUAAGCCUGUGAAGGUGUGUCGUGAGGCAUGCUGGAGGUAUCAGAAGUGCGAAUGCUGACAUAAGUAACGAUAAAGCGGGUGAAAAGCCCGCUCGCCGGAAGACCAAGGGUUCCUGUCCAACGUUAAUCGGGGCAGGGUGAGUCGACCCCUAAGGCGAGGCCGAAAGGCGUAGUCGAUGGGAAACGGGUUAAUAUUCCCGUACUUGGUGUUACUGCGAAGGGGGGACGGAGAAGGCUAUGUUGGCCGGGCGACGGUUGUCCCGGUUUAAGCGUGUAGGUGUGUGUUCCAGGUAAAUCCGGUUCACUUUAACACUGAGGCGUGACGACGAGGCACUACGGUGCUGAAGCAACAAAUGCCCUGCUUCCAGGAAAAGCCUCUAAGCAUCAGGUAACACGAAAUCGUACCCCAAACCGACACAGGUGGUCAGGUAGAGAAUACCAAGGCGCUUGAGAGAACUCGGGUGAAGGAACUAGGCAAAAUGGUGCCGUAACUUCGGGAGAAGGCACGCUGACACGUAGGUGAAGUGAUUUACUCAUGGAGCUGAAGUCAGUCGAAGAUACCAGCUGGCUGCAACUGUUUAUUAAAAACACAGCACUGUGCAAACACGAAAGUGGACGUAUACGGUGUGACGCCUGCCCGGUGCCGGAA
rnacentral:rRNA from 1 species